UAAAAUGGCGCCUUAGUGAGCGUUAAGGAUGAUCAUGUUUGUGUAGAAGUUGUAGGAACUGUUGGGCCUGGCUGGGUGUUGUUGCGGUUGUGGUUAUCCGUUUACGAAUAUAUUAGUAUUGAUGAGAAGUAGUAUGUUUAGCUCUUCUGUAAAAGAUGCGAUACAUUCGGUUAUUUUCAGGUGUUUCGAUUCAAUUGUAUUUGUUUAUCGCGGAGAAAAUACCUGACCCGUCUAAUCGGCUUUCCUAACCUGGCGUAAUUUGUGAAACCUGGUCAUCGUUCUGAAAUACACUGACCUGGUCUUGCAGAAUCUCCCUGAUGGAUGCACCCAUACUUGAAGCUAUUGGAUCAGCAGUGGGGUACAGUAACCAUUCUCCAAACCUGUCAGCCAGGUUCAUUCAAGUUAUUCAAGUGUACUGUUCAUCUUCUAUGAAUGCCCUCACAUGUCAAGCAAGCGCUAGACCUCCCAAGUCGGAGGUAGGGGCAAUUCCAUGGUGGGAUCGCAUUUUUACUGGAGCCUUAGGACUGCAGAAGCAACCUUCUACUUGAAGAAGGAUCUCAUCUCUUUACUGCCAUCAGAACUCCUGACCUGCAUCCUAAUAAUUCUGGGUUUGGUGGAGUUGUUUUGCUUGUGCUUGUCUAGUUUUCAAGGUGUUUGUUCUGUAGGGCGUCUUCCCUUAAGUGAUGCUGAAGUGUUCUCUAACUCCUGUUGCUUCCUCCUGCCAAGCAGGUGUGCAAAUAUAAGGGUUAACACUUGAGGCUUAGAUGCAAUUGAAUUUAUUUUCAUGAACCUGUAAUCACAUUAACAAAGAUGUUUUAACUUUCUGAGUUGCAGCACAAUUGAGGUAUAAAUUAAUAUAACAGCUCAUGAUUGUUGGUGAUUUUUGUCACACAACAUUGAACUACCGUACAAGUGACUAGUCCGUCCAUCUAUUUUCCAAACCGCUUACGCUACUGGGUCGUAGGGGGUCUGGAGCCUAUCCCAGAAGCAAUGGACACGAGGCAGGGAACAACCCAGGACCGGGGGCCAGCCCAUCGCAGGGCACACACACCAUUCACUCACACAUGCACUCCUAUGGACAAUUUCGCAACUCCAAUUAGCCUCAGCAUGUUUUUGGACUGUGGGGGGGGAACCGCAGUACCCAGAGGAAGCCCCACAACGACAUGGGGAGAACAUGCAAACUCCACACACAUGUAACCCAGGUGGAGACUCGAUCCUGGGUCCGCGAGGUGUGAGGCAACAGUGCUAACCACUGCACCACCAUGCUGCCCCUACAAGUGACUAGUUAGCAGUGGAAAUCAGAAUUUGAAUGCCUUGAGGGGAAAAAGCUUUUCCUCCGUCUCUUGGAUUUGGCUUUCAGGCUGCAGUAGUGUUUUUCUGACUAGUGAGAAGAGGCCAGUGUUGGGGUGGGUAGGGUCUUUUAUUUUCAGCGUUUUGUCCCUGCAUUGCUUCCUGUUGGUGCCCUGCAGAUUCGGGAGCUUAAUGUAUCAGCAGUGAGAACGCGUCUCUUCUCCUUUUCUAGAACUUUACGUGCAAUUUGGACAUGGCUCUUUUGGCUGUCAUCCUCAUUGCUGGUAAACAUUGAAUGGGAAGCCUUUCACUUCCCCUAAAGAAGUUGUAUUAACACUGUAUGUCAACACACUUGUUUACUCAGAGUGCAGCCCUGGUUGCUUGUCUUUCCGGAAGUUAUAGCUGCUUUUGUGCUGCAUUUUGGAGGAGAACUGUGAUGCCAAACUAUACACUCCAUAAAUUGAGAUGCAUUAAAUGUACAAGCAUGGUUUAAGUAACUUUGACCUAGUUAUGCUUAAAACUAAAAAACAUUAGUUGGUGGGUUCUUCAAGAAAUCUACAGUGAUUCCCCGCCUAUUGCGGAAGAUGCGUUCCAGACCCAUCAGCGAUAGGUGAAAAUCUGCGAUAUAGAAAGACCAUAUAAAUAAACUUUUUUUUUUUUUUUUUUUUUAUAAAUAGUUUAAGCCUUAAAUCGUAGCGCUUAAAACAAAACAAAGUUUGCUCACAACAAUCAGACCACAAGCAAGGUACGUGGUAUGCAGAGUACUGAUACGUCAGGGAAAAAUCCGUGAUAUAGUGGGAGUGUGAUAGCGGAACCCCCAUAUAGCGGUAGUGUGAUAGGGGGGGAUCACUGUACUGACUGGGUAACAUUUUCCCUUCCUAGGCACGCUGUGCUAGGAGCCUGCAAGACCAAUGCAAUAGUUUAAUGUAGCCAUGCACCUUCAUGUGUGUGUAACCAGACAGUCCAGAUUUAAAAAAAAUAUGUUCAACUUCAUAGUGUCUAGCUAGUUUAAUUUCUUUGUCUUACGCUUCAAUUGUCUGCUAAUGCCCGAGUCUUUCAGGUGCAAAUUGUCAUACCUGAACAUAACCACUAGAUGGUGUUAUAAUGGAAUUGGUCACCUAUGCUCUGGGUGGUGGCAGAAUGUAACUAUGGGUAUUCAAAUGCUUCUGUAAAUAUCCCCAUUUUCCCUCUGUUAGUCCACUCUCUGAAAAUGGAAGAUAAUGGGCGUAUUGGAAGAGGGGCAUUUGCUUUGUUGCCUUGCAAUGUUUUGAUGUCAUUAUGAAGCGUAUGUGAAUGCAGCAGCUGUUUCUUGGAUGGAUUUUAAUGUCUAAUUUUAAUAACCAUUUGCUUACAUGUGAUUUAAAUAUCGACUGCUCUGUUACUUUUUUUGUCAUUUCUUUGUGUUCUUGCCUGUACUCCAAAGCUCUUUUUACCUAAAAUGGAUUAUAUAAUAUAGUGUUUUUGAUGAGCUGCCUUAUGUAGCCUACCUUAACAUCAGCGCAUCUGUGUAAAAGCAAAUUUCAGUACUUACAAAUGAGAAAUCACACUGCUAAUGGCACAUUAAAGAAAAUGUUGGAUUUACAUACCAAAAUGUUAAAGUUUAAGGGUUAAAAUCAAUAAAAUUAGUGAUGUCUAAAGGAA